UUUAAUUCUGUAGCUUCGAUGACCUGCACCAUCAGACGCCCGAUGCCUGAAGUCUUUUGCGAGCGAGCUACAAAAGAGGAGGAAAGCCCGGUUAAGUUCUCCGAGCCUGCAGGCACUGUGGUUGUAACAGACCCCAAUAUGCAGUAUUUCAGAAACCUAAAAACAGGAAGACAUGUAGAAAAGGAAGCAGCAGAUGUGACUCUCAUUUCUGUCACCACUUUAACAUGUGUGGGAAGAGUGUGUGUUGCCCAACACGGGCGAAGAUGCGUUCGCGUUCGCACACCGGGCUGGGCUGCGGUACCCGCCGGGCAUCUCGCUGCUGGAUCUCUGGGAGGCUGUCGCUGACCCCUUACGCUACCCACGGCGGUCUCUGACGGCCCUUCUAGCGUGACUGCGCACCAAGGCUUUGUUUUUAAUUUACGACCAUGGCACCACGGAGCUAAAUGUGUUCUCUCAUUGGCUUCUGGACUUUUUGGGGACAUGGGGGCACACGUGGAGCACAUGGACAGAGUCACACGUGAGUGUUUAAGCAGCGUCCUAAGUCCAGUGUCGCCCUUCUCCUCUCGUUUCCUUUGGUCCCACUGUAUGCAUCCACUGACAUUUUAUCUUGCUGCUUUUGAUAUAUUUGAGUAAACUAUUUUAUGCUUUUUUGGGAAUAAGGUGGGUAUAGUUCACAAAUUUAAUAUAAAUUUAAUAAAGUGACAUUCUGGAUAUUUUGGGGGUAUAAAGUAGCUGAUUUAAUAGGCUUAAAUAACACUCUGCUAAUAGAUGGCAACAACAUGGUCCCAGUGGCAAGAAAAGUCAAUUCUACAUGGACGGUAACACCAACACUCAAAACAUUUUUUGCCAUAUUGGUGUUUCCUCUGGAAAGUUGGGGGGGUGCCCUUCCCCAGGCCGAGCCCCCUGACGGUGCAGCCUGCCUCCAGGCUCAGAACGAGGUGGCCUGCCCACGAUCCCAGAAUGGAGUUACCUUUAAAAAUUCCUUGAACUCCGUGUCUUCGUCCGUCUUCUGCUGUAACAGAGCUGCUCCGUUCAGCUGACAGCUACAGAACCGGAUGUAAGCCUGCAUGUGGGACAGCUCAGCGGCCAGGAUGUCCCCGAUCGUCUGCACCGGCAUCUUCUCUCCUCCCGUCUUCUUCCGGACCCGCAAGGCCCUGCAACCAACACACUCCCAUGUGGGCUCCAUGCCCAACUUGGGACUUGCGCUCACAACCCUGAGAUCAGGAAUCACAUGUUCCACUGAUCGAGCCAGCCAGGUGCCCCUUAUUAGGCCUAAUUCUGAGGAGGACUGAGGCCAGUACUCUCAUCAAUAAGAGGAGCUUCUCCUACCUACCUCCUAGGGAGAUGAAGCAGGUUCAAUGAAACCAUGUGCAUAAAGUACCCGCACCCCGUGAAAGCUGCAGAAUUGAGGGGCUGGGCAUCCCAAAGUCCCAGAAGCGGUCUGUGAGAGGGUCAGCAACAGAAAAAGUGGUGAUUUACAUGGCCCCCACGCAGAUGCGGACUUCAGAGGCUGGCUGGCUGAGCGGAAAUGUGACCCUCUAUCUAUUUUCCACGACACCGGAGGAUUUACGAAGCUGAUGGACAGAGUGAGUUGGAGAAGGUUCGGAGCAAGAAAAUUCUAGGAAGACUCUGCACGGAGCAUGGAGCCUGAAGUGGGGAUUGAUCUCAAGGUCCCAAGAUCAUGACCUGAGCUGAAAUCCAGAUCCGGUCCCUUAGCUGACAGAGCCACCCAGGCGCCCCUCAGCUGUUGCUUUUCCCGGGGCACUCAUGAGGAAAGAAAGGCUGAGAGAGGGAUCUGCUCAAGGUCACAAACCUAGACCACGAAGGAGCCAGAACAAAAACACGUCUUUUUGAUUCUGAGCUGGUUUCCACUGAACAACUGGGAUUCCCAGCAAGUGACUGGUCUAAAGUCUUCGGAAACCGUGAAGUUACCCGAGACAACCUUCUCGUGUGUGAUCUUUCCAAGAUACGACAUGUCAGCCUCCUAAAGGCGCUCGUCGGCCCUGGGAUAAGGCGCAGACUCCUUCUGAAGGCUCACCACGCCGGCGCGGCCUGCCCCUGCCAGCUUCACCCGCCUGGCCCCCCGAGGCCUGGACACACCACGUGGGACCACCCGCAGGACCCUAGCUCCCGGGCACAGCCUUCCCACUCCUUCUUCCUCUUCCAGGCACACUUGUCCUUGUCCUUCGGGUCUGUCCUGACUCUCCUCUGUGGCAGGGGUGGUCAGCCCUCUCCUGGCUCCCACCUCUCUGUUCUGCCGCCGUCUGUCUGUCUGUCCUCGUGACUGUGAACUCUCGAGGGCGGGAACGUUCUCCUUCCCCUCUGCUCUCCAGCACAGAGCUUUCUGCCCGCGGCAGGUCUUCGGUGAGUGUCGAUUUACUGAGUUGUGCUGAGCACGGGCUCGAAGGAUUCAGGUAACAGUGCUAUGAAGCGGACGUCUCUGAACCUUCGUCGUUCCAAGACUGGAGCGAGGAUGUCAGGAUCCUCGGACCGGAGCGCGCCCUGGCAAGGUGGUGGGUCUGCUCCGAGGUGCCGGAAGGCCGGGAAGGCACCUGCUGGUCUGUUCUCUCACCCGCUGAUGAACAUUCAUCCCAUUCACCUGCCUCCGAGAGGGAAGCAGAGGACGGUCGGACCCUCUGAGAGCCUCCGUGGGGAUGGCGAUGAGCCCGCCUGGCCUGCGAACCGCGCUCUCACUCUAUGUCCCUGCCCCCGACGUGAGCCCCUGCUCCUCAGCCCGGGCAGGCGGGCAGAGUGGGAAUAACCCACGGGGAAGUGACGGGUCUGAGUGGGGGAGGCGUGCGGCCCCGUGCACGCUCCACGCCGGUGUCCGACAGGUGCUUCCCCGGCCAUUGGCAACCUCCCAGCACUGCGACCUGCCAGCGGCAGGGGGAUGCUCGGAGGGGUCAAUGACAAGAUGGGCUGUUCUUCUCGCCAUCCUUCCAGGUCAGAGAAGUGUAGACGUAAACACACAUAAUUCAUUCAGGGCCGACCGGAAGGCCUGUAAAGGGCCAGACUGAGUGUUGGGGACACAGGAUGAAGGAUACAUGUCCCUGAUGUCAGGGGCUCACAGCCUCGCGGGCAAGAGAGACGUUACCCACUAGCAGCGUGGCAGAGUGUACUUGUGAGCAGAACAAGUGUGCGGGUCGCAAGCCCCAGCUUGCACGCGGGCUGGAGGAUGGUGCGAGGGCGGGCCUUUCUGGGGGCCGAUGGAGAAGGGUGCAGCUUCCCCGCCACACCUCCAGCGAGGUCACGGCCAGGCACCUGCUGGGCCCGCUGGGGACAUGUGUUCUCUUCGACGGCUUGUUUAUUUAACU